rnacentral:rRNA from 1 species
UAGGGAAUCUUCGGCAAUGGACGGAAGUCUGACCGAGCAACGCCGCGUGAGUGAAGAAGGUUUUCGGAUCGUAAAGCUCUGUUGUAAGAGAAGAACGAGUGUGAGAGUGGGAAGUUCACACUGUGACGGUAUCUUACCAGAAAGGGACGGCUAACUACGUGCCAGCAGCCGCGGUAAUACGUAGGUCCCGAGCGUUGUCCGGAUUUAUUGGGCGUAAAGCGAGCGCAGGCGGUUAGAUAAGUCUGAAGUUAAAGGCUGUGGCUUAACCAUAGUAGGCUUUGGAAACUGUUUAACUUGAGUGCAAGAGGGGAGAGUGGAAUUCCAUGUGUAGCGGUGAAAUGCGUAGAUAUAUGGAGGAACACCGGUGGCGAAAGCGGCUCUCUGGCUUGUAACUGACGCUGAGGCUCGAAAGCGUGGGGAGCAAACAGGAUUAGAUACCCUGGUAGUCCACGCUGUAAACGAUGAGUGCUGGGUGUUAGACCCUUUCCGGGGUUUAGUGCCGUAGCUAACGCAUUAAGCACUCCGCCUGGGGAGUACGACCGCAAGGUUG